UCUUCCGUAGUAUAGUGGUCAGUAUGUGAGCUUGUCAUUCUCCACCUCCUUGGCUAUAUGAGAACGCUCGAGACCCGGGUUCAAUUCCCGGCGGGAGAG